UACAGAGGGCUCAAGCGUUGUUCGGAUUCAUUGGGCGUAAAGGGUGCGUAGGCGGCUCGGUAAGUCGGGUGUGAAAGCCCCGGGCUCAACCUGGGAAUUGCAUUCGAGACUGAAUAGCUAGGGUACGGUAGAGGGAAGCGGAAUUUCCGGUGUAGCGGUGAAAUGCGUAGAUAUCGGAAGGAACAUCAGUGGCGAAAGCGGCUUCCUGGACCAGUACCGACGUUCAGGCACGAAAGCGUGGGGAGCAAACAGG
rnacentral:rRNA from 1 species